AACCUUACCAGGUCUUGACAUCCGAUGCUAUUUCUAGAGAUAGAAAGUUACUUCGGUACAUCGGUGACAGGUGGUGCAUGGUUGUCGUCAGCUCGUGUCGUGAGAUGUUGGGUUAAGUCCCGCAACGAGCGCAACCCCUAUUGUAGUUUUUUGCCAUCAUUCAGUUGGGCACUCUAGCGAGACUGCCGGUAAUAAACCGGAGGAAGUGGGAUGACGUCAAAUCAUCAUGCCCCUUAUGACCUGGGCUACACACGUGCUACAAUGGUUGGUACAACGAGUUGCGAGUCGGUGACGGCGAGCUAAUCUCUUAAAGCCAAUCUCAGUUCGGAUUGUAGGCUGCAACUCGCCUACAUGAAGUCGGAAUCGCUAGUAAUCGCGGAUCAGCACGCCGCGGUGAAUACGUUCCCGGGCCUU
rnacentral:rRNA from 1 species